UACGUAGGUGACCAGCGUUGUCCGGAUUUACUGGGCGUAAAGAGCGCGCAGGCGGUCGUUCAAGUCGAGUGUGAAAGCCCCCGGCUCAACUGGGGAGGGUCAUUCGAUACUGAUCGACUGGAAGGCAGGAGAGGGAAGCGGAAUUCCCGGUGUAGUGGUGAAAUGCGUAGAUAUCAGGAAGAACACCCGUGGCGAAGGCGGCUCUCUGGUACGUGACUGACGCUGAGACGCGAAAGCGUGGGGAGCGAACAGG
rnacentral:rRNA from 1 species